CGAGUAGGCGGGACGGCAAGUCAGAUGUGAAAUACCGGGGCUCAACUCCGGGGCUGCAUUUGAAACUGUCGUUCUUGAGUGGUGGAGAGGCAAGUGGAAUUCCCGGUGUAGCGGUGGAAUGCGUAGAGAUCUGGAGGAAUACCGAUUGCGAAGGCAGCCCCCUGGACAGUGACUGACGCUCAUAUGCGAAAGCGUGGGGAUCAAACAGGAUUAGAUACCCGAGUA
rnacentral:rRNA from 1 species